UGGAACAGCUGGGAUGAUCCCAGAA
rnacentral:piRNA from 1 species